rnacentral:rRNA from 1 species
CCGCGGUAAAACCAGCACCUCAAGUGGUCAGGAUGAUUAUUGGGCCUAAAGCAUCCGUAGCCGGCUCUGUAAGUUUUCGGUUAAAUCUAUACGCUCAACGUAUAGGCUGCCGGGAAUACUGCAGAGCUAGGGAGUGGGAGAGGUAGACGGUACUCGGUAGGAAGGGGUAAAAUCCUUUGAUCUAUUGAUGACCACCUGUGGCGAAGGCGGUCUACCAGAACACGUCCGACGGUGAGGGAUGAAAGCUGGGGGAGCAAACCGGAUUAGAUACCCGGGUAGUCCCAGCUGUAAACUAUGCAAACUCAGUGAUGCAUUGGCUUGUGGCCAAUGCAGUGCUGCAGGGAAGCCGUUAAGUUUGCCGCCUGGGAAGUACGUACGCAAGUAUGAAACUUA